AACGAACGCUGGCGGCAUGCCUAACACAUGCAAGUCGAACGAGACCUUCGGGUCUAGUGGCGCACGGGUGCGUAACGCGUGGGAACCUGCCCUUAGGUUCGGAAUAACUCCCCGAAAGGGGUGCUAAUACCGGAUAAUGUCUUCGGACCAAAGAUUUAUCGCCUUUGGAUGGGCCCGCGUUGGAUUAGCUAGUUGGUAGGGUAAAAGCCUACCAAGGCGACGAUCCAUAGCUGGUCUGAGAGGAUGAUCAGCCACACUGGGACUGAGACACGGCCCAGACUCCUACGCGAGGCAGCAGUGGGGAAUAUUGGACAAUGGGCGAAAGCCUGAUCCAGCAAUGCCGGGUGAGUGAUGAAGGCCUUAGGGUUGUAAAGCUCUUUUACCCGGGAUGAUAAUGACAGUACCGGGAGAAUAAGCACCGGCUAACUCCGUG
rnacentral:rRNA from 1 species